UACAGCCAUAUCACGUUGAACACCGGUUCCCAUACAAUCACUGAAGUUAAGUAAUGUCGCGCCUGGUCACUACAUAGAUGGAUGACCGCCUGCAAAUACUAGGUGCUAUAU